GGUAGCUGCUCACAGUAUAACAAGAAGGGCAGCAGCAACAGCACAGGAAUAAUAGAGGGGCAUCUGGUUGGCCAGUGUGAGAAACAGCAGGAAACUGCACAGGGCAGCAGAGAGCAGGUUAGCUGAUGAAAAAGUGUCUGGGAUCAAUGAUGGACUGCAUGAGGGCCAAUAGGCUGAAGUUCAACCUUGACAAGACAGAUCCGAUUUGUGGGUGGCCUCUCUGACCAUGGAGGUGUUUUCAUCAGCUGUGGUCUCUCUUGGAGAAAGAUAGCCUGGCCACAAUAAUCCAUGGACUGGGAACCUCCAUGGCUGAUUACUGCAAUGUGUUAUAUGUGGUGCUGCCUUUGAAGUAGGCAAAAACUGAGGAGACAUCAUGCCAGUUUUGAAACAUCUUCAUUUAAAAUAUCUCCAACCAUUUCCAAGCAUAGUUCAUAUUUUUGGUUUCUUACCUUUAAAGCCUUUUAAAGAUUAGGACCUGGGUACCCAAAAGACCAUAUUUUCCUCACAGAUAUUGCCAGUGGUUAAGAUCAUUGCUGGAGGCUCAGGUUUUUCUCUUGGUUCCUCCAUCUUCUGAAGUCAGGCACUUGGCCAUUACAGGGAGGGCCUUUUUGGCUGAGGAAACCCGGUUGUGGGCUUCCCUCCCUCUCGUGACUUCUAGUACCAGGCAAAAAUCUUAUUUCCCCAGGCUGUUUUCUAAAAAUGCCAUUUGAGUUUUAAUUAUUGACCUCAUGUGGAGUUUUGUUUGUUCUGCUGAUGGUGGGCCCCCACCUCCUUGUUUUAAUUGCUGUUUUAGUAGAUUAUUGUAUUGUUAAUUUGUUUAACAUGUCUGAAAUUGCUGCCUUAAGAGAAUUCUCUUCAGAAGGUGUGGGAAAUAUUAACAAACAGUAAAACUGCCUGUCAAUAGGGAUUGUAGGAUUCUUUGCUAACUGAAUGCUCCAUGGACAAAGAAGUGGUCAUAAAAGUAGGAAACAAAAGAUGAAGGUUUGGGGAAAUAAAGACCAUCCUGAAAUACAUACAAAGCACUCCUAGAACUCAGUUGCACAUCUUCACCUAACUUGAAAAGUUAAACUUUGGUCAAGAUGCUGCAGACAUUGAAAUUUCUGAAUAGGCAUCAGAUGAUAUUGUUUGUCCAGAUAAAUGUCUCUACAAAAGGCAAUGUCAGUGAGCAGCAGAGUUUGAUCACUUUCCAACAGAGAGUUGUAGGACCCAAGAAACUUGGGCUCUCAUACAAAAUGGCAGCUCCCUAUUUGUUUGCUCCCCAAUAUUAAUAUCAUUUGGCAGUUGGAGGCUUUUCUGGGAAAGAGGUUCCUUAUGUGUUUUUGAAUGGAAUUGUGUCAGACUGCAGCAGAUAGAUUGCAUGAGUACUCACUCAAAUAAAUUCUAUAAAGCAAAACAUAGAAAACGAGUGUGCUAGGGCUAAGGCCAGGAUAUAGAUUAAAACUCUUCUUUGACAUGUUAGACAUCAGUGUCCAGGGCAAUUUAUAUAUGGGGGAUCAUUCACUCAUUUAUGCAAUUUUCCCCACCUGCAAUCUGAAGUGGUACAGCCCAAUGGAGAGCUGUGGGUCUGGGGGGCCUCUCAGAUAGGAAUGCUUCAAUACAAGCUUCUGAGACUAUUGGCAGCUGGCACUUCCCCCCUUUUAUAUAGUUAGGUGCAGGGAAGCUUUUGCAUUCAUUUCUCAAAACCCACUUCCCAAACGCUGCACAUGGAAAUCAGAAGGAGAGAACAGCCAAAAGUAAGCAGUGAGGCAGACAUUCUGCUUUAGAUAAAGAAUAGGAGGUAACCUAAGAACAACUACCACCAAUCUACUACUGAAGUAUGAAAGAGGUACAGCAGACAUGUAAUGAAAAGCACAUGUUAUGGCACUGUAAUUGAGAGGAAGAAAAUUAAGGAGAUGUGGAGGAAGUGUUUUACCUACUACUUUAUGGUCUUUUGAAGGAAGCUGUGGGUACCUUCAUUAUUUAAAGGCUUAACAUCUCAUUGGGGCUUCACAGAGUAUUCUGUGUAGGCCAGUCAUGCUUCAGUCAUGACAGGAUGGCAAGAUCCAGUGCAGAUUUUUAAAUUGCUAAAUAUUUGCUUUUUCAUGUCUGAAAGGAAUAUGUGAAAUUGGGACAUACGAGUUCAUAGCAGCUCCUUGCAUUAUUUGAAAAAUGGUGGUUUAAAAACAAACAAACAAAUUGCCCAGUGACCUUCUACAAAUCCGCAUUUCAGGUAUAACAACACAAUAAGUGUGUGAGCAUUCAUUGGGGGCUGUUGGACUGGUGUAACAUUUGUACAGGCUCCAAAAUGAUAGUAUGGCUAGCUGGCACACUCCUGCUCAUCCCAUGCAUGCAUUUGCCAUCCAUCCUUGGAUGGUGAACAAAUGAAUGGGGCUCUCAUGUUUAAGAGACUGGGAAAUCUGAAUUUGAAUCCCAGUUGGCACACAGCUUCUUUGUAUGGCAAAGAUACUGCAAGAUUCCAUACCGCUUUUCCUUGUCUGCACUGCGAAGGCAAUACUUCUGCCUUGGAUGAUCUCCAGCUCCGAGAUUUUUCGGUAAAGGCUGACCUUUAUUGUUUGUUCAUAUGGAUGGUGCAUAAUAUGAUAAGUUAAAAUCUUGAUUUUAUAAUAAAAAAUCUUGAUAAAAAUCUUGAUCAUAUAAAAUGAU